rnacentral:sRNA from 1 species
UUGGCAGAACCAAAGACUAAAAUCUUCUCUGGGGUUGCAAAAUAGAUACAUCCGGACUCUAAAACAGUUACAGGGGCUGUGAAAGUGUCCCUCCACAGUCGUGCCAGUGGAGUUCAAGCUUGAAAUAGUGGACCACAUCCAGGGGUGAGAGAGGAAUUAAUUCUCCAUUGCCCGUUCAGCAUUUGGCCUCU